rnacentral:rRNA from 1 species
UACAGAGGUGGCAAGCGUUGUUCGGAUUUAUUGGGCGUAAAGGGUCCGUAGGCGGCCUGGAAAGUUGGAUGUGAAAGCCCACAGCUCAACUGUGGAAUGGCAUUCAAUACUGCCAGGCUCGAGUGUGAAAGGGGUAAAGGGAAUUCCCGGUGUAAGGGUGAAAUCUGCAGAGAUCGGGAAGAACACCAGUCGCGAAGGCGCUUUACUGGUUCACAACUGACGCUGAGGGACGAAAGCUAGGGGAGCAAACGGG